rnacentral:tRNA from 1 species
UCUUCGGUAGCGUAGUGGUUAAUGCACUUACCUUUUGAGUGGGAGGUCGCAGGUUCAAAUCUCUCUCGAGGCA